rnacentral:lncRNA from 1 species
GAUUUUUUGUAAGAUCUCACAUCAACCAACGGAGAUGGGGUGAUGUGCCUUAUAUGUGCACACUCGCAUCCAUCUAACACGAGGCCUUUUGGGAGCUCACUGGUUUCGGGGUCGUAGGAACUCCGAAGUUAAGUGAGUUGGGGGCUAGAGCAAUCCCAGGAUGGGUGACCCACUGGGAAGUUGCUCGUGAGUUCCCAGAAACAAAACUGUGCGGGCAGAGAGGGGGGCUCAAAGCGGACAAUAUCGUGCUACGGCGGAGCCGAUCCCGGCGUGUGACAAUUUGGUAUCAGAGCAUUAGGUUCACUUUCCUUCGACUUUUGCGCUUUUGUUGCAUUGUUGAAAUUAAUGAUUCUAUGGUGUCCUUUGUGUAGAAUCAUGCAUCCUCGACGCCCUAGGACCAGGGGUGGUCGUGUUCCGAGAUGGGGAGCCAAUCCUCCACCUCCAUCCCAGCCACAUUCUCCACCUCCAUCUCCACCUGUUGAAGAGCAUGCGGAGGGGAAUGAGCCCAACUUCCGACAUUUAUUAUCCCAGUUCACCCGGACCAUAUCUACGGCUUUACAAGGGAGACAAAGUACUGAAGAUUCUGAUAUAAAGAGGGUAAAAGAAUUGGGGGCAAAAGAAUUCUUUGGAACUUGGAUACGGAGACUUGAGAUACUCGGGGCAUCCUUGACGGGAUGUUGCUGUAGACCCUUGAUUGGGUAAUCUGCGCGAGUAAGACUGGUCACAGACGUACAAGUUUUGAGGGUAUCGACUGUACAUGCUGGCUGAGAGUUAGUCCUCCGGUUGGGCGGCUCGUUCCCUAGUUACAUGGUAAAUUGAGGACUCUUCAUGGGGACUCUGCCAUGGUGACUAGUCAAACAAUCCGCCGGUUGGAUUGUUUCCCCGUUACAACUAGGUGUUGGUCAUAUUUAUAUUAUUAUUAUAUAUAUGUAUAUAUAUCUCUCUUAUAUUAUAUAUAUAUUUACAUAUGUAUAUAACUAUUCAUUCAUUCUUGUUUUUCGGUGAGGAUACUUCCUUGCCGGUCGUGCCAAUGGGUACGCUUUUGAGAGUUUGGUUUGGGACUUAUAAUAAUUGGUGGGUUUGUUUAGUGUUCUGUUUGGAUUUCGGACUUGGCAUCCGGCUUUGGUUUGGUUUUGACAUUGUAAGAUCCCACAUCAACCAACGGAGAGGGGAUGAUGUGCCUUAUAUGUGCACACCCGCAUCCAUUUAGCACGAGGCCUUUUGGGAGCUCACUGGCUUCGGGGUCGUAGGAACUCUGAAGUUAAUCGAGUUGGGGGCUAGAGCAAUCCCAGGAUGGGUGACCCACUGGAAAGUUGCUUGUGAGCUCCCAGAAACAAAACCGUGCGGGCAGAGAGGGGGGCCCAAAGCGGACAAUAUCGUGCUACGGCGGAGCCGAUCCCAGGAUGUGACAAUUUGGUAUCAGAGCCACUCUGCCGUGUGGUGCAAGUGUGCCGACGAGGACGUCGGACCCUUAAGGGGGGUGGAUUGUAAGAUCCCACAUCAACCAACAGAGAGGGGGUGAUGUGCCUUAUAUGUACACACCCGCAUUCAUCUAGCACGAGGCCUUUUGGCAGCUCACUGGCUUCGGGGUCGUAUGAAUUCCGAAGUUAAGCGAGUUGGGGGCUAGAACAAUCCCAGGAUUGGUGACCCACUGGGAAGUUGCUUGUGAGCUCCCAGAAACAAAAUCGUGCGGGCAGAGAGGGGGACCCAAAGCGGACAAUAUCGUGCUACGGCGGAGCCGAUCCCGGGAUGUGACAUUUUUGUUAUUCAUUGGACUUUCAUUUCUUAAUCUUGUUUCCCUUGUAAACGUAAUGUAUGCAUAGGAUUUUGGGUUCAUCUAUGAUCUGAUGUUAAAUUGAAUUUCAUUUCUUAAUCUUGUUAACCUUUUAUGGGCAUGUUUGGCAUGCCUCACUAUGCCUCAUUGGAUUGGACUAUGUUAAAUAGUCCUUGAAACUUAUGUUUGGUAAGGGAGGGGAUUAAUUUAAAUGGGAUUGUAUAGUCCAAAGCGGAAAAAAAAAUGGGACUCGCUUGGCUAAUAGAGCGAGCCCGAAAUAUGGUUCUCAAAAUAGCGAUGGUGCUAUUUUGAACAUGCGAGUCCGACUGAAUACCACCAUCAAACACACAAGCUUGACCACCACCACCAUGAGUCCACGAUCAUCAGACCACCACCAUCAAACCCAUAACCAGCAACACAGACCCAAUCAAACCAUCAUCACCACCCAGUUAGUCAAACAAAGCAUCAAAACCACCCAUAAUUAGCCACCACAUACUCAGUUCAACAACCAUCACCACCAAAUUGAACCAUCACAACUAUUAAUUAGUGGAACCGGAGAGAGAGGAGGGUGGGUGUUUGCAACCACCACAAACCCAGAAGUGAAUCUGGCUCUCUUAAAAGUUGGGGUGAGGCAUGAAGAGAGAAUAAAAAGGAAGGAAGUAAGAAGAAAAGAGAAAGGAAAGAAUAGGAAGAAGGAACGGCCUGGAAAGGAAGAACGCAAAAAAAAAAAAAGGGAGGCUUGGGAAGGAAGAAGAAAGGAGGAAGAAGGAAAAAAGAAGAAGAAAGGAACGGGCCAAGAAGGAAGGAAGAAGAAAGGAGGAAGAAGGAAAAAAAAGAAGAAGAAGAAAGGAACGGGCCAAGAAGGAAGGAAGAAGAAAAGUCAAUGGGGAAAAGAGGAAGGAAGAAAGAAAAGGGGAAAAAGAAAAAAGAAAAAGAAAAAAAAGAGAUAAGAUAGUUUAAGCCUGUUAAAAAUGUUAGAAUUUAUUUGUUUUCUUUUUAUUUAUUUUUAUGUCAAAAAAGCCUUAAUUAAAAUUAAAUAAUAGAAUUUUAUUAAUUAAAAUUAAUUAUUAAAAAAAUUAUUUUUUAGUCCGACACAACAUCAAACAUAGGUCUUCACUAUUUUUACAAUCCAACUUCUUAGUCCGACACUGCACCAAACGUAGGUCAGUACUUAAUCCAGCUUAGUCCAAUCCGAGUUAAUCCAAGACAGUCCUAGGAUUUAGUCCAGUCCAUGACAGUCCGCCGUACCAAACGACCCCUAUAUGUAUGUAAGUGUUCAUGUAUUUUUAGCUCUAAUAUGAUAAUAAAUUAAAAAUUUGAUUAAAAAGGGAUUUGUAGUCUGUAGUGACUGAUAUUCUGAUGUGCUUGUGUCAUGUGACUACCAGUUGGGCAGGUUCAUACCAAAUAGGUCUGCAAUGGAUUUAGAUUAUGCGCACUACAUGCUUACUGAAGGUAGGAAAGGUAAGGAAAACCUAGCUAUGGUCUCUUCCCCAUCCAAAGAUGCCUAUCGGAAGCAGUUGGCAGAAGUAAUGAACAUGAAUCGGACUUGAAUAAUUGCUUUCAAGAACAAGCCUCCUGCACUUGUAGAGCUCUUCCCGCGCGAGUUCUCUUCUUUACCACAGGAUAAACCGGCAAAGCUGUGGAGACACAUUCCUCAAGUGCGUAUGCAUUUGAUUUUGAUCUCAUGGAUGAAUUAAUAUUUGCUUCCACUUAACUUGUUAUUUCCAAGUUGUUGUGUUCUAACUAACUACUUUGGAUUUGAUGAUAUAUGCAGACUUCAGAUAUAACACUGGAUGCUCCUGACCUUGUUGAUGAUUACUACCUGAAUUUGUUGGAUUGGGGAAGUUCUAAUGUUCUCGCAAUUGCGCUUGCAACCACAAUUUAUUUGUGGGAUGCUACCAGUGGUUCUACUUCAGAACUGGUCACAUUUGAGGAUGAAAGCGGACCUGUUACCAGUGUAAAUUGGGCUCCUGAUGGACGCCACAUUGCCAUUGGACUGGACAAUUCCGAAGUACAGCUAUGGGAUUCAACUGCGAAUCGGCAGGUUGGUUUCUUGUCAUUACUCCUUGUAUUUUUCAUUUUCCUCCCUUUCUAUUCUAUGUUAUCUGGUCCCCAAUAUUCCUAAUAUUCAUGAUUGUUGUGAUGUUUGUUUCCUUAGCUGAGAACCUUGAGAGGUUGCCACCGAUCCCGAGUAGGCUCCUUAGCAUGGAACAAUCACAUUCUCACAACUGGAGGGAUUGAUGGUUGUAUAGUUAAUAAUGAUGUAAGAAUUAGAUCGCACAUUGUUGAGACGUACAGAGGACAUGAACAAGAGGUUUGUGGGCUUAAAUGGUCGGCCUCAGGCCAACAAUUAGCAAGUGGAGGAAAUGAUAACCUACUCCAUAUAUGGGACAGAUCAGUGGCAUCUUCAAAUUCACAAACACAGUGGCUUCACAGGCUUGAAGACCAUACAGCUGCUGUAAAAGCCCUUGCUUGGUGUCCUUUCCAAGGCAACUUGCUGGCUUCUGGUGGAGGCGGGGGUGAUCGGUGCAUAAAGUUCUGGAACACCCACACCGGUGCAUGCCUGAAUUCGGUUGACACUGGCUCUCAGGUUUGUGCUUUGCUGUGGAACAAGAAUGAAUGAGAACUGCUUAGCUCACACGGGUUUACUCAGAAUCAGCUCACUCUUUGGAAAUACCCAUCAAUGGCUAAAGUUGCAGAACUCACUGGCCAUACUUCUAGAGUUCUUUAUAUGGCUCAGGUAAUGAAUUAGCUAUCAAAAACCUUGUAAAUGAAUUUAUUAUAUAUCAUGUUUUCUGUUGGACAGAAAGCUAAAUCUUUCUAUGUUGUAAAUUAUCUACAGAGUCCAGAUGGUUGCACAGUAGCAU